rnacentral:rRNA from 1 species
UACGGAGGAUCCAAGCGUUAUCCGGAUUUAUUGGGUUUAAAGGGUGCGUAGGCGGAUUAGUAAGUCAGUGGUGAAAGCCCAUCGCUUAACGGUGGAAUUGCCAUUGAUACUGCUAGUCUUGAGUAUGGUUGAGGUGGGCGGAAUGUGUCAUGUAGCGGUGAAAUGCUUAGAUAUGACACAGAACACCAAUUGCGAAGGCAGCUCGCUAAGCCAUAACUGACGCUGAAGCACGAAAGCGUGGGGAGCAAACAGG